UACGUUCUCAUCCUUUGGGUGAGAAUCUACUGACUGUCAUACUUCCAAAAAAAGCUCGCAUUACAUAUAAGACAAAAAGUACCUGUACCGAAAACCGACACAGGUAGGUUGGUAGAGAAUACCAAGGGGCGCGAGACAACUCUCUCUAAGGAACUCGGCAAAAUAACCCCGUAACUUCGGGAGAAGGGGUGCCAAGUGAAAACUUGGCCGCAGUGACCAGGCCCAGGCGACUGUUUACCAAAAACACAGGUCUCCGCAAAGUCGUAAGACAACAUAUGGGGGCUGACGCCUGCCCAGUGCCGGAAGGUUAAGGAAGUUGGUUAUUCUUUUUGAAAAAGUUGACGACCGAAGCCCCGGUGAACGGCGGCCGUAACAAUAACGGUCCUAAGGUAGCGAAAUUCCUUGUCAGGUAAGUUCUGACCCGCACGAAAGGCGUAACGAUCUGGGCGCUGUCUCGGAGAGAGACUCGGUGAAAUAGACAUGUCUGUGAAGAUGCGGACUACCUACACCUGGACAGAAAGACCCUAUGAAGCUUGACUGUAACCUGAAAUUGGGUUCGGGUUCCUCUUGCGCAGACUAGGUGGGAGGCGUUGAAAGUUUCUUUUUGGGGAAACUGGAGCCACCAGUGAGAGACCACUCUGGAGGAGCUAGAAUUCUAAUGGUGAUCCUUGAAGCAGGACACUUGACAGUUUCAGGCGGGCAGUUUGACUGGGGUGGUCGCCUCCUAAAAGGUAACGGAGGCGUGCAAAGGUUCCCUCAGGCUGGACGGAAAUCAGCCGUAGAGUGUAAAGGCAGAAGGGAGCUUGACUGCAAGACCUACAAGUCGAGCAGGGGCGAAAGCCGGCCUUAGUGAUCCGACGGUUCCGUGUGGAAGGGCCGUCGCUCAACGGAUAAAAGUUACUCUAAGGAUAACAGGCUGAUCUUCCCCAAGAGUUCACAUCGACGGGAAGGUUUGGCACCUCGAUGUCGGCUCAUCGCAACCUGGGGCGGUAGUACGUCCCAAGGGUUGGGCUGUUCGCCCAUGAAAGCGGUACGUGAGCUGGGUUCAGAACGUCGUGAGACAGUUCGGUCCAUAUCCGGUGUAGGCGUUAGAGUAUUGAAGAGAGUCGUCCAUAGUACGAGAGGACCUGGACGAACACACCUCUGGUGUAUCAGUUAUUCUGCCAAGGGUAAACGCUGAGUAGCCAAGUGUGGAGGUGAUAACUGCUGAAAGCAUCUAAGUGGGAAGCCCACCUCAAGAUGAGUGUUCCCAUGGCUUAAGCCAGUAAGGUCACGGGUAGAACACCCGUUGAUAGGCUCUACGUGGAAGUGCUGUAAGGCAUGAAGCGGAGGAGUACUAAUAGACCGAGGGCUUGAC
rnacentral:rRNA from 1 species